rnacentral:rRNA from 1 species
AUUGAACGCUGGCGGCAUGCUUUACACAUGCAAGUCGAACGGUAACAGGCCGCAAGGUGCUGACGAGUGGCGAACGGGUGAGUAAUGCAUCGGAACGUGCCCAGUCGUGGGGGAUAACUACUCGAAAGAGUAGCUAAUACCGCAUACGAUCUAUGGAUGAAAGCGGGGGACCGUGAGGCCUCGCGCGAUUCGAGCGGCCGAUGUCAGAUUAGGUAGUUGGUGGGGUAAAGGCUCACCAAGCCAACGAUCUGUAGCUGGUCUGAGAGGACGACCAGCCACACUGGGACUGAGACACGGCCCAGACUCCUACGGGAGGCAGCAGUGGGGAAUUUUGGACAAAGGGCGCAAGCCUGAUCCAGCAAUGCCGCGUGCAGGAAGAAGGCCUUCGGGUUGUAAACUGCUUUUGUACGGAACGAAACGGCUCUGGUUAAUACCCGGGGCUAAUGACGGUACCGUAAGAAUAAGCACCGGCUAACUACGUG